rnacentral:rRNA from 1 species
CCUACGGGUGGCAGCAGUGGGGAAUAUUGGACAAUGGGCGAAAGCCUGAUCCAGCCAUGCCGCGUGUGUGAAGAAGGCCUUCGGGUUGUAAAGCACUUUCAGUGGGGAAGAAAGCCUUGGGGCUAAUACCCUCGAGGAAGGACAUCACCCACAGAAGAAGCACCGGCUAACUCCGUGCCAGCAGCCGCGGUAAUACGGAGGGUGCGAGCGUUAAUCGGAAUUACUGGGCGUAAAGCGCGCGUAGGCGGUCUGAUAAGCCGGUUGUGAAAGCCCCGGGCUCAACCUGGGAACGGCAUCCGGAACUGUCAGGCUAGAGGGCAGGAGAGGAAGGUAGAAUUCCCGGUGUAGCGGUGAAAUGCGUAGAGAUCGGGAGGAAUACCAGUGGCGAAGGCGGCCUUCUGGACUGACACUGACGCUGAGGUGCGAAAGCGUGGGUAGCAAACAGGAUUAAAUACCCGAGUAGUC